rnacentral:tRNA from 1 species
UGGCUCAGUUGGUAGAGCAUGGCACUUGAAACGCCAAGGAUCGUGGGUUGGAUUCUCGC